rnacentral:lncRNA from 1 species
AUCGACUGAGGCCCCGUGCUGACGCGUGCCCUGGCUUGUUUAAUCCCCAGGGUCUGUGCUGCCUCCCCAUGCAGCAAUCAUUCCACUGGACUGGAGGUUGGCAGCAGAGGGAAGCUUCCUGAAUUUGCUUUGUGGAUUCUUUUUCCUUUGCCUGUUCUUUAGAGGUCACCUGGCUCCUCAAGGUUUCUUCUUGGGCCAGCCUCACCUGCAACUCUGUGGGUGACCUCCAUCUGCUUGCAUGGCUUCAGUCUGCCAUCUUCCAAAAGGACAGCUCUUGGCUUUCAGACCCAAUUGACCACUGAUAUUUCUGCCUUCUGGUCCCAGGUGAGUUAAAAUCCUGUUCCCAUCUCUUGGCU